AGAGCUCAAAUUUGAAAGCUGGCGUCUUCGGCGUCCGCGUUGUAAUCUCGAGACGUGUUUUCCGUGCGGCUCUAUGGACAAGUCCCUUGGAACAGGGCAUCGUAGAGGGUGAAAAUCCCGUACUUGCCAUGGAAGUACCGUGCUUUGUGAUACACGCUCCAAGAGUCGAGUAGUUUGGGAUUGCUGCUCAAAGUGGGUGGUAGACUCCAUCUAAAGCUAAAUAUCGGGGAGAGACCGAUAGCGAACAAGUACCGUGAGGGAAAGAUGAAAAGCACUUUGGAAAGAGAGUUAAAAGUACGUGAAAUUGUCGAAAGGGAAGCACUUGAAGUCAGCCAUGCUGCUUGAGACUCAGCCUGGCUUUUGCUUGGUGUAUUUCUCGGUAGCAAGCCAGCAUUGGUUUGUGUCUGCUGAGAAGCGUAUGGAGAAUGUGGCAUCCUCGGAUGUGUUAUAGCCCUGUGCAUGAUACGACGACGUAGACCUAAGAACGCAGUGUGCCCUCUGGGCGGGUCUUCG
rnacentral:rRNA from 1 species